GUGUGCGCCUGCCGUGAGGCCAGCCUCAGAGAAGGGUGUCCCAGAUGUAGCCAAAGCGUCCUCCAUGUGUUCCUGGAGGACCGUCCCAAGCCCUUCUCCAUUCUCCCAACCUCUUGGGCCUGGAAGUCAGACAAGUACCGGUGAUUGCUGGUUUCUUUUCUGAUUUUUGCACUUCUCUGGCAAGCUGCCCCCUCUGAAGAGUUGACUAUUUGGGAGUUACUCACUGAUGGUUCAGCCACUUCCAGAACCUACCCCAAGAGCAAGACUUGAAACCAACUCGCACCCUCAAAGCUCCGGAAGCCAUUCAGUGUUUCCAUCUUGGCCGAGUGAGUUCUUCACUGAAACUCAAUUUGACUUUGACAGUCAUCUAAUGAGAACUCAAAAGUCAUUCUUGGUUCAGCCACAGUCAAAGAACUUGCAGAGCAUUCUCUGACGAGGUCCUCAAGGACAACUGAGAGAAGGUCCCAUUCCAGGUCUUGCCCAAGUCUUUCUGAUUGGUGGAACUUAAAUCACACCCAAAAUUCCAGCUGCAGGAGAGCUCUGAGAUUUCAUCUUUCCAACCUCUGUGUGCUACGUGGGGGUUGGAGCACUUGCUGACAAGCCUUGCAACCACCAUUGACAGGAUGUCCUCCACCUUUUCAAUCUGAUUUGCUCUUUGCCAUGCAGACCUGUGGAUGAAGAGCCAGAGUCCUCCAAGGUGAAGCUGGACUGAAUAUUUCUGUCCGUAAGACUAUUAGAAUCCCCCACAGUGGGAUACCAGUGAGGACCUCACCAGCAGCUGCUGUCUCUCCAAUGCAGCUCCACAGGGCCUGUGGACAGGGCUGUCUAUGAGAUCCUGCCCUGAAGAGCAGUACUGGGCUGCUCUGCUGGGCACCUGCAUGUCCUGCAAAGCCAUCUGCAACCAUCAGAGCCAGCGCACCUGUGCAGCCUCCUGCAGUGAGUUCUGGGACCUGAGCCCAGGGGACAGUGUGAUCACCCCCAACGCCUGUCCCCAGAGCACCCUCUGGCCCCACAGUCAGGUGGCUGAGGAGAGGAUGGCAGGAGGAGAUGUACAGUGUGGCACCUCUUAUCCCUCCACCUUCCUGCUCUGGCCACACUGCCUCCUUUCAGUGUUGAACAUGCCAUGUUCUUCCCUGCCUCGGGUUCUUUGCACAUGUUGUUCCCGCUGCCUGGAAUGCAUGCUGUCUAUCAUCUUCCCUCAGCUCCCUCCUACCCAACUUUCAGGUCUCGGCCCAAACAUCGGGGGUCUCCUCUGACCACACAGUAGUACUGGGCCCUCCUUUGUACUGCUAGUGUUACUUUCUUUUGAAACUUUUAAUUACAGAACUUACCACACAUAUACGAUAGAGAGGACUGCACAAUGAUGCCCUCCUCAUCCAUUACCAGCUUCACAAAUCAUUUAAAUUCUGCCUUGUACUUUCCCAACCAGUUGUUUUGGCUUGUGUAUUUUAAAGCAAAGCCAAGACCUCAUAUCAUUUUACCUGCAGAUACUGGGCCAUAAAGAUCUGUAAAACAUAACCCAAAUAUCCUAUCACUGCCAGCAAUAAUUUAUUAACAUCAUCUAAUAUUCAGGCCAUAUCCAAUUUUCCCUGAUUGUCUUGAAAACUAUCCAUUGCUUGCUGUUCUUUUUCAUAAUCUGUCUUUUUCCUUGAUAGAACUUACCGCAAUUU
rnacentral:antisense_RNA from 1 species